CCCGGUGGUGGACGUGCCGCUGCGCCGGGAUCACGGGAGGAAGGGGUGAGAGCCGAGGCGGCAUGGAUCGCCCGAGAGGUUUGUUAUCCUGUCUUUGGUUCUCUUUGGACUGACUUAUAACCCACACGAGACAUGCUCCCUCAACUUGGUAGAUCAUGGUCGGGGGUACCUGGGCAUCCUGCUCAGCUGCAUGAUUGCAGAAAUGGCCAUUAUCUGGCUGAGCAUGAGAGGGGGCAUCCUAUACACCGAGCCUCGGGACUCCAUGCAGUAUGUGCUCUACGUGCGCCUGGCGAUCCUGGUGAUUGAGUUCAUAUACGCAAUCGUGGGCAUUGUCUGGCUGGCUCAGUAUUACACGUCGUGCAAUGAUGUCACUGCCAAAAAUGUCACACUGGAGUUAAAUCUGAGCUAAGGCCAAACAGAGUCCCCCUAAAUGGAGCUUGAAGGGUAAUGGCACUCUAGGAGACUGCACGUCUUUUGCUUCACAAUGAUUUCCAGCUCGGCGGACGAGUGGCAAAAUGCUCGCCGAUGUCCCUUUGGAAACAUCAUCAUCAUCGUAAUCAUCUGUAGAGGAACGAUAACGAGCGUCCUGCCUCCCGCUAGGAGAAGACUGCAAGGACAGACUCGAGACUCUCACAAUAAAAUAAACCCAACAAUCCCAUAUCUGCUGGGGAAACAGUAGAGCAGUGGGAGCCUUACUGGUGGAGUUGCCCAAAAAGCCCAACCAAGCUGGACCCAGAUCUACAAGAUACAGGAAUUCAUUAACUCAAAAUGGCGGCAACACCAGGCCGAGCAUUAUUCCCAUGGACUGGAGGAGUUUCCAGGGUAUCAGAGAAAACAUGUCUUCCAUGUAAUAACUUUAGCCAGACUUCUUCUAGCUAAGAACUGGAAUGAACCAAGAUCCCCCCACAGAAAUGAAUAGAUCAACCAGAGACUCCAGCUAGAACUAUGAACACACGGCUCUCAACCUCAACCCCCCAAAACUUCAAAUCAUUGGAAAGAAUGGAAGCUUAGAGAGCACUUACCCAAGGGGGGGCCACAGCAGUCAACAGAGGCUACAAUUUUAUUAUUAUUGUGUAGAGCUUUUAAUCCUUACAGGUCAGGGUUGCCAGAUUUAUUUUUCCAAACUAGCCAAGGUUAGUUCUAAACCAGCAUAAAACUAACCAAAAGCCACUUUGAAAGUAGCCCAAUAUGACCAAUGGAAAAAACUUCUAAAAAAAUAAAAGUAUAUAUGGGAAAACUUGCCUUUGUAAAGCGUAUAAUCCCUACCCUGGGUGAGAGAGUACAGUGUAACCCAUGUUACUCGGAUAUUGAGCUAAAAUAGAGGUUACAAUUGUUACUUUUUAUUCCUUAUCUUUCUUUUAAGUCUCCUAUUCCUCUCUCAUUCUAACCAGGGCCUGAUUGCUAAGGUAAACAAGGCCCUAGCAACCAGAUGGCUGUUGAAAUUCCAAAAUAAAAAACAAUUGCAAGUUGUCUCAGAAUGCCAGUGUUUACAUUUAAAAGGUGAGUACCUCCUUUAAAACAGACUUGAACAUUACAAAUAAAAUGGAGCCAAGACCAAACAGAGCAUGUCCACCCCCUUUAGUUUGACGCCCCCUAAUCCCAUCUCUUCUGUGUAUUGUGGGCCCCACAAACACCCACUCUGGGCUUCCUGCAUUGCCAGGGGCCCCUUUUCUACAGCCCUUGCUGCACGUAUGAGCAACUUUCUCAUAAUAAAACCAGGGCAGCUGAAUCCGUUCCCUUUACACUUGAUCCCACGCUGAAAGCCCUGCUAUCCGCAUUAUCAUUAAGCUCCUGGCAUCACUGUUCUCCAUUAAUCUGGUGGUUGGCCCAUUUGGGUGCUGUGGUUAAACAAUUACUCCUUACAGUGAGCAUUAGCUAGAGGGAGACUUCAGGCCAUACAGUGCAUGUACAUUCCGGGUGAUUAGGCUUUACGGUUUCCGGUUCUAAAUGGCAGAACGGUACAUGGAAAUAUUAACACUUGCGCAGCGUUCCUUCCUGCUUUUCAGCCUUUGGCCCCUGUUCAAAAUUAAGAAAUGUCAAUUAGAAUGAAUUACAGCAAGAGCUGCAAUCUGAAAGUCAGAGGGAGUGAUAUAACAAAAGUGGCACCGUACGCCCCGGGUCUAGCAACCAAUCGGAUGUUUGUUUUUAAAAAGGUGAUCAGUAAAUGGUGCAUGCUGAUUGGA